rnacentral:rRNA from 1 species
CUAGUAACGGCGAGUGAAGCGGCAACAGCUCAAAUUUGAAAUCUGGCUCUUUUAGAGUCCGAGUUGUAAUUUGCAGAGGGCGCUUUGGCUUUGGCAGCGGUCCAAGUUCCUUGGAACAGGACGUCACAGAGGGUGAGAAUCCCGUACGUGGUCGCUGGCUAUUGCCGUGUAAAGCCCCUUCGACGAGUCGAGUUGUUUGGGAAUGCAGCUCUAAAUGGGAGGUACAUUUCUUCUAAAGCUAAAUAUUGGCCAGAGGCCGAUAGCGCACAAGUAGAGUGAUCGAAAGAUGAAAAGCACUUUGGAAAGAGAGUCAAACAGCACGUGAAAUUGUUGAAAGGGAAGCGCUUGCAGCCAGACUUGCUUACAGUUGCUCAUCCGGGUUUCUACCCGGUGCACUCUUCUGUAGGCAGGCCAGCAUCAGUUUGGGCGGUAGGAUAAAGGUCUCUGUCACGUACCUCCUUUCGGGGAGGCCUUAUAGGGGAGACGACAUACUACCAGCCUGGACUGAGGUCCGCGCAUCUGCUAGGAUGCUGGCGUAAUGGCUGUAAGCGGCCCGUCUUGAAACACGGACCAAGGAGUCUAACAUCUAUGCGAGUGUUUGGGUGUCAAGCCCGAGCGCGUAAUGAAAGUGAACGGAGGUGGGAACCCGCAAGGGUGCACCAUCGACCGAUCCUGAUGUCUUCGGAAGGAUUUGAGUAAGAGCAUGGCUGUUGGGACCCGAAAGAUGGUGAACUAUGCUUGAAUAGGGUGAAGCCAGAGGAAACUCUGGUGGAGGCUCGCAGCGGUUCUGACGUGCAAAUCGAUCGUCAAAUUUGGGCAUAGGGGCGAAAGACUAAUCG